UACGUAGGGUGCAAGCGUUAAUCGGAAUUACUGGGCGUAAAGCGUGCGCAGGCGGUUCCGCAAGUCAGAUGUGAAAUCCCCGGGCUCAACCUGGGAACUGCAUUUGAAACUACGGGGCUAGAGUGUGUCAGAGGGGGGGUGGGAAUUCCACGUGUAGCAGUGAAAUGCGUAGAGAUGUGGAGGAACACCAAUGGCGAAGGCAGCCCCCCUGGGCCUGCACUGACGCUCAUGCACGAAAGCGUGGGGAGCAAACAGG
rnacentral:rRNA from 1 species